rnacentral:miRNA from 14 species
ACCUCUAUUUCCACUUCCACC